ACUUGAUCUUGUGUGUUUUUCUUGCUGCUUUUGCGUGAACCCAGACAGAAUGGCGUCACCUCUUUUGCAUGGCGAUGGCAGGGAAUUUAAUUACCGUUCGACGAUGAUUUACGAUUUCCCGACAACCCUAUGGCUCGAUGAGUGGCACCCGGCUCGAGUCCAACUCGAAUUAUGACAACAUAUCCCACAAAUUAUCAUUUCAUCGAUUCCCGAUGGAUAUGACCAUUCCGAGGAAAUGGCUUCGAUUCUUCGGACAGGACCUAAACAACAAUACUAAAAACAUGUACAUUUGCUCGCUUCACUUCAGUCCAGAUUGUUCCGUGCAUAUCGAUGACUUGGAAGAACAAUAUCAUCGAAAACUGAUACCAGGUAAAAACCAGCUGUUCAUACUGUCAGAAAGACCAAUGAUUCUCAUGCCUCGAGAAAUCGAAACCGGGCGGCUCGCUGAAAGGUCUUGAUUGACAUAAAGCAAGAGUUGAAUCCAGUAAAAAAUAUUCGUAAUAUCCGCGGAAUCGGCCCAGCUUUCUAAUGGGACUAAACAAGACUAUCUCGAGAGGGAUGUUCCGUCAAAGAAAAUCGGGAGCAGCAUCAUCAAAAUCUCUAACAAAAAAUCUAGCGAUUCGGCCGGUUCUGAUGGCCUCAU